GCGGCGGACUCCAAGCUGCCGGACAUGCAGGCGGGCUGGGAACAGAUGUGUUCCAACGUGCUGGCCGGGGUAGCCGGGGCGAACAUGGUCUACGAGGCGG
rfam:Ponticoccus sp. TMTAT08 contig000020, whole genome shotgun sequence.